rnacentral:rRNA from 1 species
CACGUAGGAGGCGAGCGUUGUCCGGAAUCAUUGGGCGUAAAGAGCGCGCAGGCGGCUUGGCAAGUCGGGUGUGAAAUCCCGGGGCUCAACCCCGUGACUGCAUCCGAUACUGUCAGGCUAGAGGUAGGUAGGGGAGAUCGGAAUUCCUGGUGUAGCGGUGAAAUGCGCAGAUAUCAGGAGGAGCACCGGUGGCGAAGGCGGAUCUCUGGGCCUUACCUGACGCUCAGGCGCGAAAGCUAGGGGAGCGAACAGG